UCGGGUCGGUGCCCGCGGCCGUGCACUCGCCUGCAGACUCCGGCUCCUCCGGGCUUAUUCCCGGCCGCAGCUGCCGCCUCCACACACACACGUUCACACGGCUCCACGCAAACCCAUUCUUGCGACUCCAGGGGACCUGAGGAACCCGCGCGGAGAGGACACCAGCAUUCCAUAGCAGCGACAGAGCUGGGCAUGCUCAGAUGUGCAGAUGCUAACCAGAUGUGCAUCGCUAACCAGCUGUGGCAAGGAGAACCUGCCUGUGGUGACCUCGGUAAAGGACAGGAGCCACUUUCUUCUGCGUAAGGAUCUCUGAGUGCUGUGUGGACCAGCUGCUAGGGCAGGCAUUGUCUGAUGCAACCCGAAUUCACACUGGAGGACUUUAUGAGUACAGGUCGAUUUCUCCAUUUCUGGAAUCUGGGCUUGGUCAUGUGACAUGCUUUGGGCAACGGGAGCAAAUAUGACACCAGUGAAGGCUUGGAAAGGGCUGGUAUGUUGGAGUUUGCUCUCUUUUGCUGCUCCUGGCAAACUGCCACCAUCACCAUGUGAAUGAACCCUGACCAGCUUGCUGGAUUACGGGGGCCCCAUCGCUAAGUUAGCCCCAUCACUACUACCGACGACCAACCAACAGCCAAGCAAGUGAACGAGGCCACCAGCCGCCAGCUGACUGCUAAUGCAGGACUGAAUCCAGCUGACACAGACGGAACAUAAAAGAACCAUCCCAGAUAAGUCCAGUCCAAACACCAACUGAAAAAAAAAAAAAAAAACAC